rnacentral:rRNA from 1 species
CAAAGGCUCGGUCCUGACUUUAUUAUCAACUUUAGCCAAACUUACACAUGCACGUAUCCGCACACCCGUGAGAAUGCCCUUACAGUUUCCAGCAUGGAAACAAGGAGCUGGUAUCAGGCACAUCAAUUAAAGCCCACGACGCCUUGCUCAGCCACGCCCCCAAGGGAACUCAGCAGUGAUAAACAUUAAGCUAUAAGUGAAACUUGACUUAGUUAAAGCUAAAAGAGCCGGUAAAACUCGUGCCAGCCACCGCGGUUAUACGAGAGGCUCAAGUUGAUAAACCCCGGCGUAAAGAGUGGUUAAGGGAAAUCAAAACUAAAGCCGAAUGCUUUCAAAGCUGUUAUACGCUUCCGAAAGUAAGAAGCUCAAUUACGAAAGUGGCUUUACUUCGCCUGACCCCACGAAAGCUACGACACAAACUGGGAUUAGAUACCCCACUAUGCCUAGCCUUAAACAUUGGCAACACUUUACACCUGCUGCCCGCCAGGAAACUACGAGCAUUAGCUUAAAACCCAAAGGACUUGGCGGUGCUUUAGACCCACCUAGAGGAGCCUGUUCUAGAACCGAUAACCCCCGUUCAACCUCACCCUUCCUUGUUUUUUCCGCCUAUAUACCACCGUCGUCAGCUUACCCUGUGAAGGUCUUAUAGUAAGCAAAAUUGGCACAGCCCAGAACGUCAGGUCGAGGUGUAGCGAAUGGAGGGGGAAGAAAUGGGCUACAUUCUUUAAUAGAAAGAAUACGAAUGAUUGCUGAAACGUCUUUCCGAAGGAGGAUUUAGCAGUAAGCAGGAAAUAGAGUGUUCUGCUGAAAUUGGCC